rnacentral:rRNA from 1 species
UACGGAGGAUCCAAGCGUUAUCCGGAAUCAUUGGGUUUAAAGGGUCCGUAGGCGGUUUUGUAAGUCAGUGGUGAAAGCCCAUCGCUCAACGGUGGAACGGCCAUUGAUACUGCAAGACUUGAAUUAUUGGGAAGCAACUAGAAUAUGUAGUGUAGCGGUGAAAUGCUUAGAGAUUACAUGGAAUACCAAUUGCGAAGGCAGGUUGCUACCAAUACAUUGACGCUGAUGG